GUGCUUGCUUCGGCAGGCAGCACAUAUACUAAAAUUGGAACGAUACAGAGAAGAUUAGCAUAGACCCUACGAAAGGAUGACAUGCAAAUUCGUGAAGUGUUCCAUAUUAAA
rnacentral:snRNA from 1 species